rnacentral:rRNA from 1 species
UAAGUGAUAUGGAGGCAAAACCCUAAAAAGACGGUCUCAGUUCGGAUUGAAGGCUGAAAUUCGCCUUCAUGAAGCUGGAAUUGCUAGUAAUGGCAGGUCAGCAUACUGCCGUGAAUACGUUCCCGGGCCUUGUACACACCGCCCGUCACACCAUGAGAGUUGGAAAUACCCGAAGCCUGUGAGCUAACAGUAAUGAGGCAGCAGUCGAAGGUAGAGCCAAUGAUUGGGGUGAAGUCGUAACAAGGUACC